UCGCGGCGCUGUAGCGGCGGCGACGUCGUCGUCGUCGGAGCGGGCCCCGCUCGGAGCGCUUCGUCGAAAACCGGCUACGGCUCGCACGCCGGCGCGGGCGCGCGCGCAGGUAUCGCACCGCGCGCGCUACGGUCGAGCGGAACGGUACCGCGGCCAGACGCGAACGCUCGCCGGUCCGUCGACCGUCAUUCGUACGACUGCUUCUAACAACAACUAACGUUCUCGCCUCGAGUUCUCUCAUAUUCACCACCACUAUUAAAACACACUCAUAAUAUUUUCUUUUUCCGUUACAAUAAUAUUUUUUCGAAUACUAUAUUGUAUUUCGUCGCCGUUUACGAUUCUCAACUGUAUUAUCACACUAAUUAGCAGUAUCAUAUAAAUAUCAUUUUUGCGUUUAUUUUAUUUUUUUAUUUUUAUUGUUAUAAUAUUCUUUUCGUAACUUAAUUCAUCAUUAUUCUCGCGCCGAUAUCAUAGUUCCAUAUAAUUUUGUGUUUGGUUUUUUUUUUUUUUUGUUUUGUAAAAACCCUUUGCAAUUAUUAACUUUAAAAAAAAAAACGGUCGCAUUAUUUUCGACAACUGAAGCUCAUUGCCCGGCUACAAACAGUCUAUACAUUAUCGAUGACGGUACACCGACGAAAUUGUUAUUUUCAAUCAUAUCACAUGUACUCGUUGUACUACCAGGUACAGUGCAGACACAUGCACAGUCGAAAUGCAAAAUAUUAUAAUAUUUGGAACUAUUAUACGACUAACCUUCUUUCAGACCAAAAAUUACGUUCUUUUUUUCAUUGCCAAUGAACGUUUCAAAUACCACACUGUUGUCGAACAUUAUACCAAUUCCUCAAUACGGAUGCAGACAAGAGGCUGUUUGACAUUAGAACAUCGAUUCAAGCCCUGUGAAUAUUGUCGAUGAUUAUACGUAGUACACCGAAUUGAUGACGUGUAUCCGCAUAAUAAUAUUAUGUACAAAGCCUGCAACAUGUACUACGAAAUAAAUGGCAAACAAAAAUUCGUUACUCAGCAAGUGUUGAUGUACAGUCGAACGAGCCGUCAUCUUACCCGUGAUAUGGCAACAAAAAUUAUGAAAUCAAUAAUCAGAGAUUCCGUUUUAUACAAAAUAUCGCCGAUAUUACCUAAAUUUCGAGGUAAAAAUUCGUGACCCUUGAAUCACGGAAACGUCGAAAACCCACGGAGUGAACAUGGCUGACGAGGGUAUUAAACGCCUUCCGACUUAGGAGGUUACUAAGCAAAACGAUCAGGGAUCGCAGUAGUCAAAGCUAUUCCCGAGAAUUGUGGUUGAGUUUCGACGGCAUAAAAACGAUAUUGUUCUUUAGAACCCAAUGCGAAUUGUUGCAGUCAGUAUGCCGCAGACAUAGACAUGGAAAUCACUCUUUGCUCGCGGAAUUUGGAGGCUAAGCGAAUGCUUCUGGACCUCGAUAUAUAAUUGCAUUCCACUCGGCGCCGCAACAAAAUAAACGGUCUACAUUUUAUGAACGAAAUUCCACCGACGUCGUCUUCCAUGGUCUGCAGAACAACUCGAGUGAACCGAGUACAACAAUAAUAACAACAACAACAACAACGAUGACGACAAUAUAAAGCAGCACGGAGAACAGGAGACAACAAUUUCCAGAAUUGCAACUAUUGUUGUCAUAGAAUUCAAUGGAUGAUGGAUUCCCGUCAGAGAGGAGUGAACUUUUCAAAAACGAACAAACAGCCUGCUCUCCACCCCUUCUCCACGCGACCUGUCAUUCCGCCCACGCGACCGACUGGCGCGUGUGCCGCACCUGAGUCGCGACUACACAACCACUGCAGCGUAUAAUCCGGCGGGUUAGCCGCUCACAGCCGUACAACAUGAUAUAUAAUAUAGUAAGUAAUAAUAAAACUGCUAUAAUAAUAUUAUCGUAUAAUGUACAAAACGGUAUAAUUUAUUGGCCACUGUCGUUCCAGCUGCCAACGCGUCAAACGGCGUUGCACAAACACGUCGGUCCGUGGCUGUCGAAUGUAACACUGUAUAUUAUUAUUAUAUAGUGUGACAAGCGGCGGCGGAUUCUAUAAUAUUAUUACUAUUAUUAUUCGUCUUCGUUAUCUGACGCGGUCGAAUCCCCCGCACACAAACCCGUUACAUCUGUGACGAUGAUAUAUUAUAAUACUGCCGUGGGUUUAAACAAAUAUGAGAUCGAUAAAACGUAUGUUUAACCACGUGUAAUUCCAUAAUAAUAUGGUACCCGCUCGAUUGUUUGCGUGUCAUACCUAUUAUACGGCGUCAAAACGUACAAUAUUUUAUUAUUUAGGGCCUACUAUAUAGGUAGUUGGUUUGACGCAUUUCGAAUUAAUAAUAAUUAGUAUAAUAUUGACUUCCCUUCCAAGAACUUUGUAUAAAUAUAUAAUAUUUAAAUGACCUAGUAGAGUGUAAAAUAGAUUAUUUUCGUGUUAGGCAAUAAGUAAAUCACAAACAUUAUUGAUUGACAUAUUUUAUAUGGCAUUUUACAUUGUGCUACUUCUUUAAGUCUAUUUGUAUAUCGACACGUGAAUAAAAAAAUAAUAACUUAAGAAAAAUUGAAAAAGUUUUGAAUUUUCAGUCAGUUCAUUAUUUUUUUAUGUUUUUAAAAUAUAAAGUUCGAUUUAUGGUUAACUUUUUAUGUUAAUAAAGAGCAUUUUCGAGUGUUUUGAAAUUUUGCAUAUAAAAUCGCUAACGAGCUUAUUUUUUAGCGCUACAACCCUCAAACCUCGAUUUCAACAUAUUAUAUGCCUACGUGACAUUUAUUUUUGCUUGUGUUCCCAACUUAUUCUCUGAAACCGACAUUUCGAUUGUAGAGAGAUACUGCCUCUUUUUCUCGUUUUCAGUUUGAUCAGAGCAAACUGUUUCCCGUAACAACCCCUUCAAUCCAUCCGCCAUUUGCAUAUAAACUAUAUUGUACAGUAGGUACACUUUUAAAGUUAUAACUGCUGCAUUGCCGUUUUUUGUACAUUCAUCUUGAUUUAAAUUCUCUCUUAUUUCAAGCGAUAUCUCAGUCUUUUUUUUCAAAUUGGCUACUGCACUUUGCCCGAUAUUGAACCUUUUGUUGAUUUCCACUCACCUCCUGUCAUAAUGUUUCUAUUAAAAUGUCUUCAAAGACUCCACAGCCUGCGGCAGAAUUCUCUGUGCUUUUGAAACGUUUAAUAAUGAAUAUUCUCGACGCUCACUUCCAAUUGCACUGCAAUCAUAUAAUUUUUCCGAGCAACCAAAAACUUCAAUGAAUACUACAUAAAAAUAUAUCACUUGAUUCUUAUGACCAUAUAAUAUUAUUACUACUACAACCAUUAUAAUUAUUAUGAUACUAUAUUGUGCGUGUUGAUUAGGUACUGUCUUCAUAAUAUUACACUAACCACUUAUAAUAUAAUCCAAGAAACGUCGGCGGCAAACAUUGUGUUUUUUCAAUUCUACUCUAGAGAGUAUGCGUGAUAAACGACAGAUGGCCUAUAUAAUAUAUAUAUACAUAUGAAUGGUCGGAGUGGUAUAUACUGUAUAUUUAUAUACAUAUAAGUGCAUAUAUAUACUUCUGCAAGUCUGGUGUGUGCACGCGCGUGUGUGUAUACAUAUAUACGAGAUGAUAAGGAGUGGCGGGAUCAUAAGUCUGGAUAGAUUGGGGAGGGAUGGAAACCUUUUUCCGAUCCCUAAAACAAUACGACAACCAGACUACACUUAGCGUGAGUCUAUUCCCCUUUGUGCUGGAACCGACGCGAUAUCCCGCGGCCGCCGACUGCUGGCAGCUGCCGACCCGUGGAGAAAACAUAAAAAUCUCUGAUGCGAAUGUGUCGCGCGCGUGGCAUUCGUUUUGUGUAUAUAUUGCCAUGACUCCGGUAUCGGAUCUGAUGAGGAGGAAGUGGUUUAUAUUUUUAUUCCAAGAACCGUGUACAAUGCACAUCAACAAGUCGUAAAAAAUAUCUUCUAUAUGCGCAACGGUCGUAUAGUAUAUAACAUAACGUAAACUAUAUUAUUACACUAUACGUAUAUUAUUAUACAUAUAUCUUAUUCGGCCUACACGUGAGGUAUUGUUGGACCAUAAUAAUAUAUAUUGCUACUGCAUUCGACCGUGCUCCGUCGGGGCUCGUUUUCCGGAAAUCGUCGAGUACGCGCCGGCCGCGGUAUUUUUACUCGCCUCGUACCACGGUGGAUUUUAUCGACGUUUUACGUCCAUUUAUGCCCCAAACGACGGGGUACUGCGCCUCGUACUUUAUAUUAUAUGUUAUUAUUAUAUUCCCCGACGGAUACGUUAAAACGGAUACGGUUCCCGACGGUCGACGUGUUGUUAUAAUAUAAACGUGAACAAUAUAUAUAUAUAUAUAUAUAUAAACGAAUAUAAACUGAUUUAUAUCGCGAAAUAAAGUCAAAUCGCUCUCGCCACAUUUGCGGACGACGAAAAGCACUAUACGCUUUCAGAUAUUCCCGCUGCGCCAUAAAUACUCUCAAAUAAUAAAAAUAACAACAAAAUGAAAAUGCAAAGGUUCACCCACUCGCUCAUCGUUUUAUGUUGAAUUAUUUUGGUUUUACAAAACUUUCAUUCGAAAUUAUUUCUAUACGUGAAAUAGUGUUUCCCGUUUCCCGUAUCUCAUUUUAAGAUGUUAUAAUAAAUAAUUAUUAUUACUGUCCAUCGCUGUCACAAUAAUAUGUUAUAUACAAUAGGGGUAGAUAUAUGAUAUGGGUAUCUCUGUAGACUACAGUAGGACGCUUGAAUAUUACGGCGUGACUGGCGGUGUUGUUGAUGGCGAGCGUAUACGAUACGAAACCAUAUGUUAUUGAUAUUAACGACAACAAAAAAUUAACCCAAUUAUUGCAUUUUCUGUAGAAAUACAGGUACUACAAACUAUGUUGGUUUAUGCCUCUUUUACUGAAAAAUUAUUUCGGAAUUUCAUUUAUUUUCUCUCUCUCUCUCUCUCUCUUAACCGCUCUGUAAGAUUGUAUUUGAUAAAAUAAAUUAAGAAACCGUCCAAAAAUCCCUUCGCUGGCUCCCGCAGUCCCGCCAAGAAUAAAAUUGAUCGUUUUACCUCUCGACCGACAGCUUUCAUUAUAAUAAUAAUAUAGAACCCUAUUUUCUCUGUUUUCGAUUAACAACUCUGUUGUUCCGCAUAUAUAUAUAAGCAUCAGAAAAUAAGACCAAAAAAUGUAACACAUAAAUAAACCGACAGCAGAAAUUCUUCUCUUUCAUGCACUAUUCCUCUUAAACAUUUUUUACAUUAAAAUAUGAGAAAUAGACAUUUUUAGUUGGGAUCGGGUGAGUUUAUGUUCGUCCUUUAUGGCAAAAUGGCAACCCCUGUUUAGUGGCUGUAGUUUUAUUACAUUUUUAUUUCUAUAAAAACACAUCAAAGGUUAAAUUUAUUAAACAUUAAAACAAUAAAGUAUCUUAAAUAUAUAUUAUAUAUAUAUACAUAUUUUUAAUUUAUAUUAUUUACAUUUUCUAACCAAAAAAUAAUAAUUAUAUUCUACCAGCGAAAUUUAUUUAAAUGCGAAUCAGAGUAUUUUAUUAUCUAACGAAAACAGAUGAUAAAAAGAAUUAUAAAGAUGGAUGCAUUUUAAAAAUAUUACUUACUUAUAUAUACACACACAUUACUCAUACAUAAAAAUAAAAAUUGAUUAACUAAUUAAAUUUAGUAAGUAGAAUAAAUUUAUUAAAAAUAAUGGAAAUAUAAAUUCAUUUCUCAAUAUAUUAUUUAUAUUACUUUCAUAAAUAUUACUAAUGCCAAAAACUACGGUUUAUCUAACAUUUGUAUUAUAUACAGUAUACACUGUACAAGUAUAACAUAGAAUCUUUAAAAAAACUUUUGCACCCAAACCCAAUUAAACUCUUAAAUACCUAUUAUAUUUACUAACGUUAACAUUAUUCAAUUUGUAAUGAAAUUACUCGUUGUGCACGUAUGUAAAAUAAAAACAUUAUACACUAAAUACAUUUUGCCCGUCAGUAGGUUUUAAUCAAACCGGAUCUGCCCACUUGAAUAGUAUCAUUAUCGGUCUUGUUAUUAUAAUUAUUAUUAUGAUGUAUGAUUCAAUGAUUGUCUGGUUAAAAUUAAUUACCCAUGUACUAGAUAUACGUCCAAUAACUGUGUGUGUAUAACGAUAAACAGUAUCAGUCAAUUCUCACGAUAACUCAAUAACAAAUUACCAUUUAUGGAUAGAUAAAUAUAUGCAUUAUACAGUACCUAUACCUAUGUAUAAUUUAUAUGAUUAUAAUAUUUAACUCUUUGAGUAGGACGAAGAAUAUCAAAAGGUCUAUAUUUUUUCUUAUUUUUCUUCUUCUCUUGCUUAUUAUUAAUAUUAUGUGGGUACACCGUACAUUUAAAUUACAAAGAUUAGUCGAACGGGAUUCAUUGAAAUAAAAAAAAUGAUAAAUGCACCAUUAAAAUCAAAUGUGAACAGUUUUUGCAAUGAAUCAACAUGGUUUGUACUUAAUGUUCAGAAAUUUAAUCGUGUCUUGAUAAAUUCUAAGUACAAUACAUCAUAAUUUAAUUUAAUUAUUAUAGUAUGUUUCCAUACCUACGAUUAGGUAGUUUGCGUUUCUUAUAAUAGUUUCCAGUACAUCUAUAAGCUAUAUUAUAAUUAAUUUACUUUAAUAAUUGUUUUUAAUGUAAAACGACAUAAAAUUGUUGCAAGUGGAAAACUUAACGGCACGAGCAGAAUUUACUCUAUAAAAGUCAAAUCAUUGAGUAACAUUUUUAUGAAUAAAUCACAGAAAUACCUAAGAUACGCGUAUACUAUAGAUACAUAUAAAGCUAUUUUACCCACUAUAAUAUCAUAAAAAAGCGUAUAUAUUAUAAUAAACAUUAAAUAUAAAAGCGACGUGCAAAUACCAUUAUACGUGUUGCAUCAUUUACCGCAAUCGCUGGUAGAUUAAAAACACUUUGCAAUGCCCUUUGAGAAACUACCCGGCCGAACGAUGUUAGAUAAUAUAUAUGGUAGUAAUAAUCGUAUUCGUGCAGUGGCGUUGCAAUAUAUUUAAUAAUAAUGUGGAAAUCUCCGAAAACUCGCAUGCCCAUCACGAUACAGUUUUCGGUCGAUUGGCCAUCGGAGUUACUUCCGUUUCCUUUUUUCCGCCGCCACAUAAUACAUAAUAUAUAUAUAUAUAUAAUAUAACAUAUACGUAAUAGUAAUAAUAAUAAUAAUAUAAUUCUAAAUGCGGUCAUUUAUUCGAUCGGAGUAUAUAGGUCCAUCCCGAAAAACACCCUCGUAUGUAUGUGUGUAUGUGUACAGUAACUUGCACGCACAACAAAUGGACGCAUUUUAACUUCAUCUUUUAAUACACACGCGCAUUCACUUUAUCGUGGAAAAAAUGUACUAGACUUCUCGUGUAUAGUAUUACCACUAUAAUAUGGCCAGCGGCGGAGUGACAGGCUGCGUGGUUUGCAAUUCGGUUAAGUACAAUACCCUUCCUUAUCCUCCACAGCAGAUGUGGUCUACGAGGGAGGAAGUUCAUGAAUGUUUCAUUUUGUUCUCAUAUAGCCCUGUCUUUUGUCGGAGAGUUUUUCUGAAAUACAUUAUACAAUACAAUGAUAGAAUAUAACAUCGUCGACCGUAAAAACCGACUUUGCUAUGUAAUUUUCAAAAUAUAAAUUCAAACGUGACCUCAUUUUAAUUAUUUUAAAACGUUUUGAUUCUGUUGCGAUCGGUAUUUCGUGUGGAAAAAAAUAAUACGCAUAUCCAACAAUCUAUAAAGUCUUCUCUAAUAAUGAGUUUUUGAUUUUUUUAAAAAUUAGCAAAAAAUAAUUUAUCGAUUCAAAAAUCUCUUGGUAGUACGUGCGCUGUCAGUUUUUCACAUAACGUUCGUACACGCGUGGUUGCAAUACACCAUGCGUUACAGAGAACCAACAGACCGGCGCGACGAUAACAGAUCAUCAGUUUUGUGUUCUAUUUUAGACGAUGCGUACCUAAAAUACAAUAAAAAAUAUUUGUGUAUACUAUAUUGCCCAUACCGUCUGAACGCCACUCGGCGAUCAUCAAUAACCGAGAAAACGCUGAACGGCGCCGCGCUUUGUGUACGACGAAAAGCUUUCUUUUAUUCUGGUUAAUUUAUUUUAUUUUUUUAUUUAUAACAUUGACAAACUAGUUUCCGCGGGCACUGCCUUCCCCUUACCAUCACAAAACACAAUGUUAAAUAUAGUACUAAGUAUAGAGUUCCGCACAAACGUCUACCGACUGUGUUAUGUGUGUGCGUUUGUGCCACACAACUGUGCAGAUCUCUGUAUAGUAAAAGUAUACAGCAGAUACUAACACACACACAUUCAAAUAAACACAUUUUACGCUAUACAUAACGUUUAUACUCAUACACGUGCACGUAAUAUUAUAAUCGUGAACUUGACUGGUCACGACAAUGCAACGCCUCGAGGUCUCGAUGUGUAGCGUAUAAUAUCGUAACGGUAUACACUAUACAUAUAUAUAUUAUAUAGCUGCAGGUUGGUCGAUGCAGAAAAGCGCAUUAGCUCGCGCGCGAUCGCUAUUACCAUUAUUAUUAUUAUUAUUAUUAUUACAACUACUAUUAUACAGACUAUCAACCGUCGUGAUUGUGUGUUUGCUCACCCAGCCCUGGCGUUUAAUAAAUCGAUUUGCACGGCGUAUUAGCCGCGACGACGAUGCACGCCACAAUAAUAUUAUUACAUUGCAAGUCCGCCGUUAUAGUUGUAGACGAGGACGUCUGCCAAUAAAUCCGAUCGGUCUUAUCCUAUCUCCGUGGUAAAGUUUAACGGUAUAACGUUAAUAGUGCCCCGGUGUAGAGUAGUACAGGUAGAACGUCUGAAUAUAUUUUUUACACAAUAUUAAUAUAAUAAUAUUAUUUCGAUACGGUAACCGCAGAUAAUAUAAUACAACCUGCUAUCAUACGACUCCCUAAACGGCCUAAACGUUCGAUUUCGAAAUAACGUGCUUGUGCGAUGCCCUGCAAUAGUGGUACAGCUGUGGUUAUUUUAUAAUUUUAACGUGCACGAAGCGCUGAUGGGGAUGAAAUAUUUCCAGUGAUCUUUCGUUAUCAUAUACGAUUGCUUGUAAAAAAAAAAUUCCAUGGCCGCACAUUUUGACACUAUGCUUUUCAAUGUCAAGUACAUUAAUUUUUUUCAAGUGAUUGUAUUUACGCGGUUCAGUUUUUAACACUUGCGUAUUUAAAAUAAAUAAUAUUCUAUAUACAUGUAUCGCAUACAAUAGAUAUGUAUUCUACGAGUGCGGAUACAUGACAAUUGGACUUUUAAACUCAACGAAAUUCGAAUGAUAUAAAAAUGGCGAUACGCCGCCGCUUUCAAUUAGUAGAAAUAUAAUUAUCCACACUAAACGUAUUUCAAGUAACGUUAUUCUUCCGUUCGGCGGAAUCACGUUUGAACGGUUAAUCCGGUGCAGUGUGUACAGUAAUUGAUUUUCAGCAACGUUAACAAGUCCACCAGAGCGGUGGCGGUGACGUGACUUGGAAUCCUGCACGAAUUUCACUUAUAUAUACAUGGAUAGGUGUUGUGUAUGUAAGUAGUAGGUACCUAUAUAUAAAAUAUAUGUACGCGUAAAGCGGAAAAAGCAAUAAAUAGGAUUAAAUUUUCUAUUUCCCAAAGUCGUUCCCGUCUACCCUUUCACCCAGCGGGUCGCUGCUGUCGGCGAUGUAGUUAGUUAGCAUCGCGUACGGCCCUGUGAUUUAACGCCGUCGGAAACAUUGCAAAUCUAAUCACGUACCAGCUACACCUAUACUGCAACCAUCUCUAUCUCUCUCUCCCUCUACUGUCUACCCAGGGUAUCCGUCACGGGACCGGCGUCAAAAAUAAUCUGGCCCCGAGCGUGUGUUUCUUCAAUUACACGAAAUCGCACACCGCGAGUGAUUCGUCGGUUUUGGUACUGAAAAACAGCAUGGCGUAUAACUUAUAAUGUAUGUAUAUAAUAUAUUUUAUGGGCUCGGGGUAGGCAGACGGGCGCGAGGAAAAUACGUAAAAACACCAUCCCUUUUACGCACCGUCCGUAUUACUAUUAUUAUUAUUAUUAUAACGCCCGUGUGUGUACAUAACUCGAGUAAUUUCAAAAAGGAAAUGAAACCCCACUACUCCUCGCGCGUUUGACAGAGACGGCGGCGAUCGGGACGCACACAGACAUUGCUAGGGGAGUACGGUAAAUGUUUGGUGCCAUCGUGGAACGCCGCCGCUGUCCGGAAAGGGUGUAGCCUGCAAAAAUCGAACGGAGUUUUUUGGAUUAUUUUUCCCUCUCUCAGUCUCUCCCACAAAGCCUCAUCGGAACAAAACGCAAACAAUAAUACCGUGCAGUGCAUAAUAAUAUAGUCCUUUGCGUAUUUCGAUAUGCGAUUUGAUGCGGUAAUUGCACGCAACAAUUUUUUUGUAUUCGAUAUGUACACCAAUUUCAGUUAUCAAUUAUGAUAGAUAUAGCCACAGUAGUGUGCAUAAGCGCCUAAUACGGGUGUGUAACAAUAACAAUAAUCGUAUAACUGCAAUCGUUUAACGGCCAUAUUAAAUGAUCCGUACAAAACAUUACGCAAUGAAAUGGGCUUGGGUUCUAUAGCAUAGAAUUUGCAUAGAUAUUUGUUUUUAGUGCAUAAACCUAUAGAGUAAGCUGCACAAAUAUCCUACGUACUAUGUAUGAAAAGUUUUAACAUCGUAUUCUGUGGUUUUUGUAUUAAAUUCACACCAACAACUAUUACACUCUUUUUGUUUGCCGAUGCACCUAAACGAAACAUAAUUCAGACCCAAUGAUUGCGUUGUGCAGAACGCACAACUCGGACAUAAUUAGAACUAUUUUCUUGUAAUCCAAUACAAAUAAACUGCUACAGCUUGCAAGUCAAUAAACAUGACAUCUCUAUCCGACAAUAUUUCAAUGCAUUUCUUCGUGCAUUGGGAACUAUAGCAUAUUAUAUUUUACGAGUGUUUCAUUAAUAUUUUUUUUAAUAUAAUUUUUUUUUCUUUAACCCAUUAUUGAUAAUAUAAUAUACGUUUAAUAAUAUUAUUAUUGUCAUUUGGUCAAAAAUCGGUAAAUUUCUCGUCAAUAGAAAACGCGAAGCGAUCAAACGAUAUAAUUAUAAUCAUUUCAAUAUUUUAUUGUAAAGGUAUAGGUUUAAACUCAGAAAAAUAUGCGCACUCGUCGGCUGUAGAAGUUUCCACAAGCUGUCGGUGACAGACAUUGUAGAUUUUGUUAUUGUUAUUUUCUAUCACCGAUACGAACCCUCGUUUAAUUCACCCUGGAUAUUGCGUGUUAGCCGAGGGUUCGGUGGAAAGUAUGUCUGUGACGACUGAUGAGUAACAUCACUCCAUGACGUCUAUAUAUUACCCGAAAUAUUAUCGAGACGUGAUGCAAUUAAACUCGUUUCUGUACAUUUUAUCCUGGUUGAAUUACUCACAUAGUUAUUACCCUAGAUUAUAUCAUAAUAUAUAUUAUUAAAAUUAUUUUUAUUUUUAUUAAUAUUAUUAUUAUUAUUAUUAUUAGAAUGAUAAGUUGAUUAGUUUCCGUUGUGUACGAUAUAACCAAAUGUGUUUUACCAUUUUUGUUAAUAUUUUUUAUUGAAUAUU